UACACACCGCCCGUCGCACCUACCGAUUGAAUGGUCCGGUGAGAUCUUCAGACCGUAGCAAAGGCCUCCUUCAUUGGAGAUCUUGCCGUGGAAAGUUGCUCAAACCUUACCAUUUAGAGGAAGGUGAAGUCGUAACAAGGUUUCCG
rnacentral:rRNA from 1 species